GAUUGAGUCUUUGCAGAGCCUGCGCUGGGGAAACACGAAGAGGAAAAAAAAAUGCAUAUUUGAUAAAGAAAUCAACAGCGGGCUGCCAGUGCAGCACAAGAGCCCUUGAAAAUUUCGCCUGUUGCUCCGGUAACCGCGAGGACGAAUUCAGCUCCUGUUCGAGUGGUGGAGGUGAAACCCAUUAUAAGAUGUGUCGGCAGAGAGAAUGAGCAAAGUUAGAUAUCAGGGGGACCUUGUUUUGGGUUACGGUCUUGAAAAAACAAAAAUAAGUAUUUUUCUGUAGAUAAAAUACAUUAAGAUGCUUAAGUUGUACCAUAAAUUCAUUCUGCUCCAAUACACAGAAUAGUACAGUGUGGCUGUGAUAAAAUACUAUGCCUUGUGAAAGUAUUUUUCUAAUUUCAUCACGUUACCACCAAGAAUCACUAUGUUUUUGCUACCAUUUUAUGUAAUAGGCCAACACCAAAUUUUGGCAUAAUUACAAGGUAGAAGGAAAAUAAUACAUUGAUUUUAAAUGAUUUUACAAUACUUUUGCAGUUAUGCUGCAAAUCUGUUGUGGUAUGUCUCCAUCAGUCUGUAUUUCUAGAGACUGACAUUCUUUUGUCCAUGCCUUGUUGCAAAAUAGUUCAAGGAGA